rnacentral:rRNA from 1 species
AUGGCGGUGCGGCAGCCCCGUUCGUCGGAGCAGCGUGCCUGGCCUCAAGGCCGCGCGCUCCUCUGCCGAACGGCGCUAGCCGUGUUGAGCACAUGGCGAGAUCGGAAGCCUGUUCGCGCCGGCGACGCGCACAGGCGCUCGGCGGCGAGGUGGGGAGGCGAACGCCGGCGCCUGUCGUUUGGUGGUCUACGGAGACGUGUGCGGCGCAGGGGCCACACAACAUUCAAAUCCGACAGGCGGGGCCGCCAGCCAUUUCUUCCCGCUGGCCAUCAAGAGAGACGGCGGCGUCGUAGCGUCAGUAGAACCUCUGGAUAUCCCUGGAUAUUUCUCGAAGCCAUCCAGGUGCUAGAUGCUGGAAGAACACUACAUUAA